rnacentral:rRNA from 1 species
ACUGUAGGCUGCAACUCGCCUACACGAAGUCGGAAUUGCUAGUAAUCGCGGAUCAGCAUGCCGCGGUGAAUACGUUCCCGGGCCUUGUACACACCGCCCGUCACACCAUGGGAGUCGGUAACACCCGAAGCCUGUAGUCUAACCGCAAGGGGGACGCAGUCGAAGGUGGGAUUGAUGACUGGGGUGAAGUCGUAACAAGGUAAC